rnacentral:lncRNA from 1 species
GACUGCAGGGUGACUUUCAGUAAAACUGCUUGCUGUCUCUCUCUCUCUCUCUCUUUUUUUAAAAUUUUUGCUUCAGUCACCCUUAUGUUGUUAAAAAAAAAAACCAUAAAGAGCAUCUCUAGCAGCCAAGAAAAGUCAGUAUCAGAAUCCAGAGCAGCAUUUGAGAGGCCUCUGUAUACAUCAGGAGCACUCUGAGACACAAAGUAACUUCUCAGGACUGUGUAAUUACCAUCCUGGACUGUUUUCCUUUCCUUUGCUUAUCUUAUAGUCCUGUCCUAUCUAUUUUAGUAAGUCUAUACAAUAAUAAAAUCUUGUUCUAUCAUAUGGAAGUUAUGCAAAGAUUUUUCUUUCUCUACCUGAGAACGGUGGUGCAGACCUUUAAUUCCAGCUACUCAGGACGUUAUGACGAGAAGAUUGCUAACUCGAGGAAACCGUGCCGUGGGCAACCGCUUGAGCUCCUAUAUCAAUACUAAAAGUAAAAAAUCAACAGUGGCAGAGGACUUACCAGCACACGGAGCCCUCAGUUCAACAUCUAGUACCACAAAAAUGUAUCUUUAUUUCCUCUUUAGUUUUUCCUAGCAAAAGAUUCAUUCUCUAUCACUAACUGGCCUUUUUUUUUUUUUUUACAAUUAUUAUGAUUUUUUUAAGUAAUUUUGUGUACAGUGUCUCAGGCUGGCCUUGAACUACAAACUUCCUACUUUUGCUUUCUGAGUGCUGGGAUUAUGGAUAUAUGCUACCAGGCCUUUCAGAAAACAAAUUAUGUUGCUUAAUUAUAUUAUUAUUAUUAUUUAAAUUGGCAACUUGAAACAAGACAAGAUUAUUUGGGACAGGACACACUAGUUUAUCAUAAAACCGUUUAGGUUUUUAAGUUACAGGAAGAAUGCAUUUAAAAACACAUUUUAUUUAAAUUUACUUAAUGUAUUUACUCUUUAUAAUUACUUGUAGGCCUCCCAAGAUAUCAUCAUGUAACAGUCAAGACUUUAUCUAUCUAUCUAUCUAUCUAUCUAUCUAUCUAUCUAUCUAUCUAUCUAUCUAUCUAUCUAUUUAUUUAUUUUACCAGUAUAAGCCCUUAGAGCUUGCUGUUCCUGAAGCAGAAAACACUGGCUAUUCCACUGUUAAGUAUGAAACAGAUAAGUAUGAUCCGGAUUGACUGCUAGCCUAGGCAAAACAGUUGUUAUCAAUAAAACAAUUAUGAGCAUGGUAUCAACUUUUGAUGGCCUAUUCAGAACUGUGUCUUCAAGACCCAGGAUUCAAGAUGCUGAAAGAACGGGGCAAAUUGUAGUUUAAUGGUGUAGAAAAACUUACUUCAAUUUCAGUACACUUCUAUAUAUGAAUGUAGC